rnacentral:rRNA from 1 species
GAUGAACGCUGGCGGCGUGCCUAACACAUGCAAGUCGAGCGACCGGACGAGAAGCUUUCUCCCUUGCUGUUAGCGGCGGACGGGUGAGUAACACGUGGAUCACCUUCUUCUAAGACUGGGAUAAUUUCGGGAAACCGGAGAUACUACUGGCUCAUAUUUUGAACCGCAUGGUUCAAAAGUGCUAGACAGCUUUGCUGUUACUUAUAGAUGGUUCCGCGCUGCCUUAUUUAGUUGGUAAGGUAACGGCUUACCAAGGCUACGAUGCAUAGCCGAGCUGAGAGGGUGAUCGACCACAAUGGAACUGAGACACGGGCCAGACUCCUACGGGAGGCAGCAGUAGGGGAUCAUCCGACAUGGGCGGAAAGCUGACGGAGCAACGCCGCGGGAGUGAUGAAGGGCUUCGGGGCGUAAAACUCUGUUAUUAGGGAAGAACAAACAGGUAGUUAACAGUGCACAGCUUUGCGGGACCUAAACAGAAAGGCACGGCUAACCACCGUC